rnacentral:rRNA from 1 species
AACGAACGCUGGCGGCAGGCUUAACACAUGCAAGUCGAGCGGGAAUCCUUGUGGUGUCAGCGGCAGACGGGUGAGUAACGCGUGGGAACGUGCCCAUCAGCUCGGCCUAACUCUGGGAAAAUUUACCUGAUACCGGGUACAUGCGAGAGCAGAAAGGUUUAUCUGCUGAGGGCUCGGCCCACGUCUGAUGUGUUAGUUGUUGAGGUUAAGGCUCACCAAGGCGGGGAUCAGUAGUUGGUCGGUGAGGAUGCUCAGCCAGACUGGGACUGAGACAAGACCCAGACUCGUGCGAGAAGCAGCAGUGGGGAAAAAAUGAAAAGGGGGGCAACCCUGAACCAGCGAGGCCGCGAGGGUGAUGAUGGGCUUAGGGUUGUAAUUCGCUUUUCUCGGGGAGUAUAUGGACGUAACCGGAGGAAUAAGCCCCGGCUAAUUGCUG